CCUCCCGGAGGGCUCCAGCAUCACACCUCUGCGGACCAAUCAGGACAGUGCCAUUUGGACCAACCAAACUGUCCUGGCCCACCCGCGGCCCCGCCCGGGAGGACACGAAGCCCACUCCCGGCCCACGAUCACUGCUCCGGAUGUCUCUGCUUCAUGGUGACAGGGAGACAGACCGCCAACUGGACACAGGCCCGGGCCACGUGGCCAGCCCAGAAGAGGCUGCGACCACGCCCCAGCAGCAGUGGCCUGCUCCCGCUGUCCAGCCACAGGGUUGGAGCCCGAGCAGCCGGAGACAGCACGCUGCCCUUGCCCCGCCGGAACCACGCAGAUGCCACUGAGUGAGAAGGCAGAGGGCAGCUUCUGUGGCCAUCAGGUCCGCUCCACGAAUAUGCAUUCCCGCCUGCAGCCCCUGGAAAGCGGCUAGGCCCCGCCCGCCUGACCCCUCACGCGAGUGGUCACCUAAGAAGGCUUUCAGCUGCCUCAGAGGGGCAGUGAGGGAGGUGCCCGGCCCAGGCCAGGAUUCCCUCUGCUCCUGAACUACCACAGGUGCUACUGUUAUAGGAAGAACUCAAGAAGUGUCAACCAAAUUUACGAUUGACAAUGGCAGAUGGAAACACGUGUGCGGUUGGCGCCAGAGAGAGCUUUAUAUGUAAGACGUAUGUGUAAGUCAA